rnacentral:lncRNA from 1 species
CCCCCCUUUACCGCAUUAGGAAAGUCUCUGGGGACGACGAGACCCUCAAAUCCGGAUGCCUCCUGGUCGAUUACCCAUGCAAAUUUGUUAUUUUCUAGCUUCUAUGUCAAUUUAGGGAAUUAACAUUUUUCUGAGAGAGGCUACAUCCCCCACCAUUACAUGGAUUGCAUUUUGCAAAAAGGAACCACUAGCAUUGCAAUGAUGCUAAGAUUGUGCAACUUCAUCCUUUACAAUAAAAUUGCGGAAAUCGUGAAAAACUAUGAAAUUUAGAUGGUAAUUUUUGCCUUAAAUUUACAGUUUUUAGCGAGUAAAACAGAAACUAUUAAUGGAUAAUCGGGUUUUUCCUCCAAGACAAAAGAAGUUGCACAAUCUUAGCAACAUUGCAAUGCCAGUGGUUCCUUUUGCAAAAUGCAAUCCACAUAAGGGUUAGUAUUUCGGACACAGAUGGGCCGAUUUUGGAGUUGUUGGUGUCGAUUCAGGUAAAUAUUUUCUGCACUUUCCGGUUGAAUAAUUUCAAAAUGUUGAUGUAAACCCUACAUUUUGAAAUGGGAAACCCCUUUUGAUUUGGAAUUUUACAAUAAUUUUAAUUUUCUUGCAGCCCCCAUUGAUUAUCUGUACUUUGUCUCUCACCAAAGUUUUCAAGCUAUACCAUUCAUUUAUUUAUUUUUUCACAGGAAUGGAUUUGUGAGGUACAAAGUAGCCAGGACCACUCUCUUGAACAUCAUCAGCCAAUUAGAGGGUCUUAUCAUCCGGCCUGUAGAGAAGUGCAAUGAUGCCAGAGCAAAUGUCAAGCGUCUGAUGACUUUCACAGGGAAACAAGCAAAAUUAUAAUGGCAGAUUGUUAGAAUGUAGCAAACGUAUUAUUGGAGUGCAUAAUGAAGUGUUAAUUUGUUGUAACUGAUAACCAUCUAAGUAUCCUACAAAAUAAUGAAGAAAAGAUAAUAGAAGUAGUUGUGAAACCCAUGUAGGAUGUUUACAAGGAUCCUGUAGCUCCACACAGCUCCUCGAGUGUCCAUAAGAUACCAUACAGGAGCGGAAAUAAAAGUGUUGAGUGGGGGAUGGGUGUUAAUAAUUUUACUUCAUAAGCAUAAGAAUUGCUUCACGUUAUGAAAGAUUGGUUUAAUCUAAGUUUCUUAAUUAAAUCAACUUCCAAACAAGGAAAUUGCCAAAGACAUUGAAUAGAGUAGACCGUGCGCUGUGAAAUCGAGCGGUGGCCACUUCUCUUCCAUUCGCAUGGCGCACCGACCGCUGAGUGCGGGAACGCCAUAGAUGAAAGAAACUUAAUAAGAAUAAAAUCAACAUAAAUACGAUGUACGAAUGUCAAUAAUUUAUUCAACUAUCUGUCUACUUUUGAUGAGGAAAACAAAAUGUAUCCAUUAGAAUCCUCACCUUUCUUGCAGCAUUGUCAGCCAUUUUUAGCAGACACCAAUUUUGUAAGUGUAUGUUAUUAGAUUUUGAUACCACUGAGGGCUAAUUAUUAGCUCAGCCCUAUCCAUUCCACCCAUUGUCUAUCCGCAUCCUAUUGCAGUUUUUGACAGAACACGAGAAUUAUUAUCUGUCAAGGGGAAGUGUUAGUUAUUGUGCCAGAUCAUAAUUUUUUCUGUAUAAAUUUACCUAAGUUGGCACUAAUGUAAAUUUAACUCUCCUCAACGGGCAUCACUGUUUUGCUCGCACCUGAUUGGUUGGUGCCCAACCUUCUUAUUUUUCCCCUCUCUUUCCCUCCCUCACUGUUGAGAUAGUCCAAGAUGGAGUCCUUUUGUAUCGUUUUUCUUCAUGUUCGUCAUUCGUAUUGAAUUCCGAAUAAAGCUGUGAAACUCUCAAAGAAAAAUGUCUUUUUUCUCAAGCUCUGCUAAUAAAAUCCUUCUCUUAGAUCAAGAUGGACGAUAGCUCUAAGUAACUCUCUCGUAACUUUUAUGAGUAUGCCUUUUUAUGUACAACUAGCAGCCAACCCGCGAUUCGCGCGGCACUAUUGCAGCAAAUAAAUUAGUAUACCUCAUAUUAGAUGCUUACAACUUUAAUUUACGAAUCAUAUUUUAUCUUUCAAGUAAUUAAUUGUAAGCAUUGAUAAUUCUAAGUAAAUAAAGCAAGCAUUACUUUUC